CCUACGGGGGGCUGCAGUAAGGAAUAUUGGUCAAUGGAGGAAACUCUGAACCAGCCAUCCCGCGUGAAGGAUGAAGGGGCUCUGCCUUGUAAACUUCUUUUGUCUGGGGCGAAAAAGCUCGAUUUAUCGAGAACUGACGGUACCAGAAGAAUAAGCACCGGCUAACUCCGUGCAAGCAGCCGAGGUAAUACGGAGGGUGCAAGCGUUAUCGGGAAUCACUGGGGCUUAAGGGUGUUAGUAAGUCAUAGUAGAAAGGCUGUGGCUUAACCAUGGAAUUGCCAUUGAUACUGCAGAGAUUGAAUGAGGUUGAGGUUGGCGGAAUGUGACAUGUAGCGGUGAAAUGCUUAGAUAUGUCAUGGAACACCGAUUGCGAAGGCAGCUGACUGGACCUAUAUUGACGCUGAGGCACGAAAGCGUGGGGAGCGAACAGGAUUAGAUACCCGUGUAGUC
rnacentral:rRNA from 1 species